CCAGGAAGCAGAAAUCAUUGACAAACUUUGUAAUCAAUGAGGAAACGGACAGUUCUUCCCGCCCAAAAAAGAAAUCAAAUAAUAAAAAGGUGAAGACAAAUGAAGAGGAUUUUGCCAUUAAAAUCAUCAAUGAUAUAUGCAAAAAUUUCCAACUGGAUGUUAAAGAAGUUCUAGCAACUCUGGGAUCAACCAAUGGUGAUGUGAACCAAGCCAUUUCUUACAUCAAAUUUGGACCUGAAUUAUCAGGUGUGUUACCAUGGACACAGGAGGAAGAUGCCAUUAUUUCAUCAACAGAUGAGCAGCAAUUUAGUGGAAUUGUUCAAAAGCAUGGGCAAGUUGCUGUAGCCGAAAGACUUCAAUUUCUGGAGAAUUUGUAAAUGUUCCCUCAUGUUCAUCCCCCGCAUCCCAAGGAACAACAGCAACCUUCACCAUCUGUAUUAUAUAUCUGUCUCUGUUUUUAUUGAGAGAGAGAGAGUGUGUAGAUGUGUGUGUGUGUGUAACAGUUGUUGUGGGAGAGAGUUAUAACAACGACUGGUAUGGACUGAGUCCUCAGCUAUAGUGCAUGUAUGUGUGUAUGGUUAUAUGUAUAUAUUUGUGUGUGAGUGUGCUUAUAUGUAUUUAUUUUUUAUAUGUUUUUUUUUUUUUUUUUUUUUUUUUUUUUUUUUUUUUUCAUGAAUGAGCUGCUCCACAUUGGUCACCGGAGUGAUAUUUGGUCACUUUACAGAGUGUCGGUUAGGUGUCUGGAAUGGGACGGCUUACCUCAUGGGCAGGUAGAAGCUCUUUAACCUUGGUUGGUAAUCUACCUAGGAGAAGGAAAUCUCAGAAAUAAAACCUGAGGCCUUGGAAGUUCCUGGUUUUGUCAAUUCUCUUGUCACACCGGUGAAAAUCUUCUUGGGCUAAUAAGUGGGGGUAGUGCAGUGCAAGCUACACCCACUAAAAAUUAUUCAUCUGCACAGGUACUUCCUGUACUCCAAAUCUUAGUAAAAUCAUUCAAUUGGUUGGUUGGCAGAAAC